AUUGAUUUCUAGAGGGCCAUUGCUUACAGAAAACAUAUACUGUAAUAAUCUUGGGUAAUUAAAUAUAUGUCCAGGCCAAAUUUCAGAUUUCUAAAACUUAUGCAAAAAAUAAAAAAGAGCCAAAAAAAAUCAGGGCAUAAAAUAGAGAUAACGUAUUAUUUUAUUGAUUCAGUUUUAUCUGAAGUAUAAUGUGUGUGUCAUCAUUUAAGAAAUAUAACCGAAAAUGUAACAAGACGAGGGCAAAAUAUUAAAAUGUAACGUCGGAUGCAGUUAUUAAAGUGACCACAAGAUGGUGAUAUCACACAUUGCACGUGGAACGCACAGACAGGAAGUGAUGUAAAAAAGAACAGGAAGUGGUGUAAAGUAGGAACAGGAAGUGACAAAAAAAAGUAGGCGUUCUAUAAGGUAAAGACAGGAAGAUCUGGGAGGGAGAAGACCAAGGUAAAUAAUACAUCACUGGAUUACACAGAGGAGGAUAAAUGUGAAGAGAAAAUCUUGGCAGUCGAAAAAAAUCUGCCAGCCCCGUGAUUCAUCUUUAGAAGGACACGAAGAUCUCUACAAGGACGUCAUGAUGGAGAAUCAGCCGCCCCUCACAUCACCGGAUGGAUCCAGUAAUGGGAACCCUCCAG